GCUCAUUAUCUUUUGUAGGUAAUUCUCAGCAUGUGGGAAACAUCUGUACUUUAGAGUGAUCAGCGUUAAGAGAAGCGGAGAACUGGAAAUUAUCGAGAGAAUUGGGAUGGGUAGGCAACAGACCACACUUUGGACGACUUUAGUUCAAUUUAAAGAUUUUCCUAUUGCAUCCCUUUGCUGUUUUUUCUAUAAUAGGGCAGAAUGGUUGCGGACCUAUAAUCUCAGAUGGUGACAAUGUCAUUAAUAUUUACUCUUGCUGUUGUCAUCUACUCUGCAUUUCUGAAAAAAGUUAACAGUGAUAAUAGAAAAAACAAAAACUAAGAACCUCUCUUUCUCUCUCUUUCUCUCUCUCUCUCUCUCUCUCUCUCUCUCUCUCUCAUAAGUAAUCACCUUUCCCCAUCUGAAACAAAUUAACUCCUGGGGAGGAGAGAUGUUGCAAGAGCUUUCACAUAGUCGUUUCCAAGGAAACAGCUUCUAUUGUCCACACGUGUUCUGCAGCUUACACAGUAGAUGGCUUUGUAUCAUUAGACGUAUGUCCAGAGAAACCAGCUAUUUACAUACACUUUGAGAUUGUUAAAAUCAAACUAAUGAUCUCACUGUAAUCCGCAUAGGAUUAUUUCUUUCUUUUUUAAAAAAGUCUCAGUAUAGUAUAUAUGGGGUUGUGGCCAGUGGUAUGGGUUGAGUUUAUUUACUAUGUUGUAUAUAAUCAUAAAAUGGCUUCACUAAAGUUACCUCCUCAGGGAACAUCCUUCAGUAUCGUGGCGCCCUCUACUGGGAAGCUCUGUGUAUCAAACUCAGAAAGAAAGUGUUUUGUUUUCGAAGAUCUACCAGAGUUUCAACUUCUGUAUUGUCUGCCUGAAUGA
rnacentral:lncRNA from 1 species